UUUUUUUCAUUCAUUUUUGCACACAUUACAACAUUACAUACACAUUCAUUCUUAUAUUAGUCUUCUUCUACUAGCAUGAUUACUUAGACAUGUUGGUGACCUUACUUCUACUGCUUAGGCUCACUUACACAAGUAACAUCCCAAGCUUUACUUGAGAUCAAUGGCGUCAAAGUCUCUGAUCCUAGAGGAAUUGUAGGUUUUGAUUGGGUUUGAUCUAGAUCCAUCGUCGCAACCUCUCCUAUCGUUGAAGAACGACGUCUUCUCGGGAGUAAACGAGGAUAAGAUGAGAAAUCUUUUCUUUCCAAAGUCAUCAUUUGUUAAGCAAAUUUAUGAUUUUCCGUAGCCCAUUAUUGGGGCCUUUUAUAUGCAGGAUAAAUCUGGUCUAACUGGUUAAUCUUAAGCUACCAUAUAUCAAAGAAGCUGUAUAACUUCUUACAAAACAGAAAAGUGUUUCAAACUUUUUGUAGGAUAAAUUGCCAUCCGUUUGAUGCAGAACCGUUCCACUUGAGGCAUGUAUGCACAAAGUGACAGAAGAGUCAGCAAAAUGUGGAGCAGUUCGGUCUAAAAAUUGUCCAAAGUAGAGAUUGUUCAUCAGUGGUUGGAUUCUAUGGAAGAUGCAUAUGGGAAUCUGCACAAGAGGAUUUACCAGCAGACAUGAACGUCAGAAGACUAUUGUUUCAAAGUCAUACUUCAAGGGUGUGGGAAUUGAUUGGUGGUAUGUGAGAAACGUUAUGGAUUGAGAGCUGUCUAUGGAGGGAUCUGAAUCUCUGUGUGGUUAAUGUAAUUCCCUCAAACUUACAACCUUGAUGCUGAUUCAUCUAUUCUCAGCACUGAAGUAGAGGUGCAGCAUGGUGUCUGUAAUGGCUGAAGUGGACCGAAUUCUUAGACCACAAGGAAUAUUUAUAGUAAGAGAUGACAUGGAAACAAUAGGAGAAAUUGAGAAGAUGGUGGAAUCGCUGAAAUGAAUGUAACAAUGACACAUUCCAAAGAUGGAGAAGGAGAAGGAGUGAUCUCUGUUCAGAAGUCAAGGUAGGGAAUUGGUUUAAUAUAGUUUUAUGAGUAACGUUUCUUUUAUGAUCAUGUUGUUUGUUAACGCUGUAUUAGGCCAAUAUGUGUAUCCUUUUUUGCAUUGACAAAAAUUGUAUACAAGAGUAACAA